GGUUUAUUGAAGCCCUAAAGUGUUCUUUAGAACAAACUAGUGGGACAAAUAGACGAGAGGAAAGUCCGAGCUACAAAGGGCAGAGUGCCAGAUAACGUCUGGGAGGCGUGAGCCUACGACUAGUGCAACAGAGAGCAGACCGCCUGUUAUUAAAUAGGUAAGGGUGAAAGGGUGUGGUAAGAGCACACCGCGUGAAUGGUAACAUUUCACGGCACGGUAAACUCCACUCGUAGCAAGACCAAAUAGGAAUCCAAUGAGUGGCCCGUUCAGGAUUCGGGUAGGUUGCUUGAGCUUGUGUGUGAAUACAAGCCUAGAGGAAUGAUUGUCCACG
rnacentral:RNase_P_RNA from 1 species